UACGUAGGGGGCAAGCGUUGUCCGGAAUCAUUGGGCGUAAAGAGCGUGUAGGCGGCUCGGUAAGUCCGCUCUGAAAGCCCGGGGCUCAACCCCGGGAGGCGGGCGGAUACUGUCGGGCUAGAGUCCGGAAGAGGCGAGUGGAAUUCCGUGGUGUAGCGGUGAAAUGCGCAGAUAUCAGGAGGAACACCAAUGGCGAAGGCAGCUCGCUGGGACGGUACUGACGCUGAGACGCGAAAGCGUGGGGAGCAAACAGG
rnacentral:rRNA from 1 species